GGCUGGGAGCACAUUCCAGGUCAAAUGCAGAGCCAUGGAUGGGCAUGAAGGAGAGAUCAUGAGCUCUUGACAAUCAAGUUGGCUUUUGAAGAAUGGCGUCACCUCUUGGAAGGCUCUAUACAUCCUGUUACCAUUUAUUCAGACCACAAAAACUUGCUCCAUUUUCAAACUGCCCAUCGACUCAACCCACAGCAGGGCCAGU